UACGGGGGGGGCAAGCGUUGUUCGGAAUUACUGGGCGUAAAGGGCUCGUAGGCGGCCAACUAAGUCAGACGUGAAAUCCCUCGGCUUAACCGGGGAACUGCGUCUGAUACUGGAUGGCUUGAGCGUGGGAGAGGGAUGCGGAAUUCCAGGUGUAGCGGUGAAAUGCGUAGAUAUCUGGAGGAACACCGGUGGCGAAGGCGACAUCCUGGACCACGACUGACGCUGAGGAGCGAAAGCCAGGGGAGCAAACGGG
rnacentral:rRNA from 1 species